GAUCCUGGCUCAGGAUGAACGCUAGCGACAGGCCUAACACAUGCAAGUCGAGGGGCAGCGGAGAGGUAGCAAUACCUUUGCCGGCGACCGGCGCACGGGUGAGUAACACGUAUGCAAUCCACCUGUAACAGGGGGAUAACCCGGAGAAAUCCGGACUAAUACCCCAUAAUAUGGGCGCUCCGUAUGGAGAGUCCAUUAAAGAGAGCAAUCUUGGUUACAGACGAGCAUGCGCUCCA
rnacentral:rRNA from 1 species